rnacentral:rRNA from 1 species
AAUAGAUACCCGGGUAGUCCACCCCGUAAACGUGGGAACUAGUUGUGGGGUCCUUUCCACGGAUUCCGUGACGCAGCUAACGCAUUAAGUUCCCCGCCUGGGGAGUACGGCCGCAAGGCUAAAACUCAAAGGAAUUGACGGGGACCCGCACAAGCGGCGGAGCAUGCGGAUUAAUUCGAUGCAACGCGAAGAACCUUACCAAGGCUUGACAUACACUAGAACACCCUAGAAAUAGGGGACUCUUUGGACACUGGUGAACAGGUGGUGCAUGGUUGUCGUCAGCUCGUGUCGUGAGAUGUUGGGUUAAGUCCCGCAACGAGCGCAACCCUCGUUCUAUGUUGCCAGCACGUAAUGGUGGGAACUCAUGGGAUACUGCCGGGGUCAACUCGGAGGAAGGUGGGGAUGACGUCAAAUCAUCAUGCCCCUUAUGUCUUGGGCUUCACGCAUGCUACAAUGGCCGGUACAAAGGGCUGCAAUACCGUGAGGUGGAGCGAAUCCCAAAAGCCGGUCCCAGUUCGGAUUGAGGUCUGCAACUCGACCUCAUGAA